rnacentral:rRNA from 1 species
GACGAACGCUGGCGGCGUGCCUAAUACAUGCAAGUUGAGCGAUGAAGAUUGGUGCUUGCACCAAUUUGAAGAGCAGCGAACGGGUGAGUAACGCGUGGGGAAUCUGCCUUUGAGCGGGGGACAACAUUUGGAAACGAAUGCUAAUACCGCAUAACAACUUUAAACAUAAGUCUUAAGUUUGAAAGAUGCAAUUGCAUCACUCAAAGAUGAUCCCGCGUUGUAUUAGCUAGUUGGUGAGGUAAAGGCUCACCAAGGCGAUGAUACAUAGCCGACCUGAGAGGGUGAUCGGCCACAUUGGGACUGAGACACGGCCCAAACUCCUACGGGAGGCAGCAGUAGGGAAUCUUCGGCAAUAGACGAAAGUCUGGCCGAGCAACGCCGCGUGAGUGAAGAAGGGUUUCGGAUCGUAAAACUCGGUUGGUAGAGAAGAACGUUGGUGAGAGUGGAAAGCUCAUCAAGUGACGGUAACUACCCAGAAAGGGACGGCUAACUACGUG